UGUUUGUUCUCUCUUAUAAACACUCAUCUUCCUCUAACAAAAUGGUACGAGUGUUUGGUUUGUAAGAGUUGAGAGAAUAAAAUUAAGAGGUAACAUACCACAUCUACGCUACUUUUCAUUUAUUUCUUCUUACAAAAGAGAAUUAUGAAAAAUAGUAUUUCUGUAUGAAAACAUUACUUAACUAUUAAGAUGUAUCAGAGAUUGUGAGAAUACUCUAUGAGAAGAAGUCACAAGAUGAAAGUUUUCCAAAUAUGAGAAGGAGAUAUUGCUAAAGACAGAAGAAAGAUUAGCAUGCUCCUAUCCUCGUCCAUUAACAUUGUUAAUGCAGUGGUUACAUGUUGUAUGCAAUGCAAAGGAAAAGUUCUUCAUAUGUAUCAGAUUGUGUUGAAGAUAUACAAAAUAUAUUCGCAAGCAGCUGAGUAGGAAUCUAUUAUUUGAUUCAAGUCUCAACAUACUUCUUUUUUGGUAGGCCUCUUUGAUCGAGGACCAUUUUGUAACAUUUGUUGAGUCUAUGUAAAUUGCAGUUAUUUUGGAGUCUAGAAAGUCUAUUUAGUUUUUUUUUUUGGGAAGUGUAUUAAACAAUUUGAUUAUGUUAUUUGAAUUAUGACUGGAUUGAAAGUUGAACAGGGAUUUUACAAAAUUUGGAAAUGUUGAAGUUACAGAGGAUACUCUGUCGAAA